CUAUCGCUUACAGAUGGGCCCGCGGUGCAUUAGCUAGUUGGUAGGGUAAUGGCCUACCAAGGCAACGAUGCAUAGCCGACCUGAGAGGGUGAUCGGCCACACUGGGACUGAGACACGGCCCAGACUCCUACGGGAGGCAGCAGUAGGGAAUCUUCCGCAAUGGACGAAAGUCUGACGGAGCAACGCCGCGUGUAUGAAGAAGGUUUUCGGAUCGUAAAGUACUGUUGUUAGAGAAGAACAAGGAUAAGAGUAACUGCUUGUCCCUUGACGGUAUCUAACCAGAAAGCCACGGCUAACUACGUGCCAGCAGCCGCGGUAAUACGUAGGUGGCAAGCGUUGUCCGGAUUUAUUGGGCGUAAAGCGCGCGCAGGCGGUCUUUUAAGUCUGAUGU
rnacentral:rRNA from 1 species